ACUGCAGUCUGCAACCCGGCUGCACGAAGCCGGAAUCGCUAGUAAUCGCGGAUCAGAAUGCCGCGGUGAAUACGUUCCCGGGUCUUGUACACACCGCCCGUCACACCAUGGGAGUUGGUAACGCCCGAAGCCAGUGACCUAACCGGAAACGGAGGGAGCUGUCGAAGGUGGGACCGAUAACUGGGGUGAAGUCGUAACAAGGUAAC
rnacentral:rRNA from 1 species